UCUGUAAAUUGAUAACAUUUUAUUCUCAACGUUUUAACUAUAUGUACAGAAUAUAUUCAAUAAACAUUCAUCAAUGAUAGGGAUAACACCUGCAUAUGCUCACAGAUAGAUUGCAGUGUUUGUCAAAUCCUCUGAGCCUUCCGUUUUACAGGAGGAAAUUUAUUACUCCUACCUCCUACCAUCUCCCCCACUUCUCAACAAAAAAUUCAUUUCUGUUGGUAGAGUUUUCUCCACGCGUCUUCCUCGCAAAAGCAAAGGAGUCUUUUUGGGGGGAAUUGUAGAGGAAAAGAGGUUUUUAUAUGUGAGUCAUAUGAAGUGCGGCCUUUAUAACUCCCAAAUAUAAAACCGCUUUUCCCUUUAUCACUAAGGAAAAACCUUUUUGAGAGGCAGACUUGGAACAAGUCCAUUUGUUAACUUUUCAUUAUUUGGUUUGGAAGUUUCCCAGUAAAUCAAUUCCCCUCCACCCCCAUUCCUCCCCCUCCCCCGCACUUAGUAAUAAAUCAACAUCUAUAAUAUUUACUAUAAUAUCUACUGAUUCUGUGGUGGACUUACUGGAUGUAUGUUAAACUACGUGAAUUGUUACACAUUAUUAUGUACAAAAUCGCAAAGUUCGCUCUUCCUUGUAUAUCAUAUAAGUUGAAAGUUUGACUAGUGAAACUCGGGAAAAUUUGCAAACUGGUAAUAAUAAUAUCCGAAGC